AUGAGUUACUGGAGUCUGGAUAAGAAGAGCUGCCUGCAGUACUGCCGGCACUUCCUAGCGGACAACGGCGUGUUCCACGUUGAAAGAUGCAUGAGUGUGAUGCAGUCUGGGACGCAGAUGGUGAAGCUGAAGAGUGGAACCAAGGGGCUGGUCAGGCUCUUCUACCUGGACGAGCACAGGACCUGCAUCCGAUGGAGGCCCUCCCGGAAGAGCGAAAAGGCAAAAAUUGUCAUCGACUCCAUUUACAAAGUCAGCGAGGGCCGGCAGUCAGAGAUCUUCCACCGCCACGCCGAGGGCAGCUUCGACCCCAGCUGCUGCUUCACUAUUUACCAUGGCAACCACCUGGAGACCCUGGACCUGAUCACGUCCAACCCCGAGGAGGCUCGCACCUGGAUCACGGGGCUCAAGUACCUCCUGGCCGGGAUCAGCGACGAGGACUCGCUCGCCAAGCGCCAGAGAACGCACGACCACUGGGUGAAGCAGACCUUCGAGGAGGCUGACAAGAACGGCGACGGGCUGCUGAACAUCGAGGAGAUCCACCAGCUGAUGCACAAGCUGAACGUGAGCCUGCCCCGCAGGAAGGUCCGGCAGAUGUUCCAGGAAGCAGACACAGAUGAGAACCAAGGAACCCUGAACUUUGAGGAAUUCUCAGUGUUUUACAAGAUGAUGUCCUUGCGUCGAGAUCUCUACCUGCUGCUCCUAAGCUACAGUGACAAGAAGGAUCAUCUCACUGCUGAGGAGCUGGCCCAGUUUCUGAGGGUGGAACAGAAGAUGAAUAAUGUGACACCAGAAUAUUGUCUGGACAUCAUACAGAAGUUUGAAGUGUCAGAAGAAAACAAGAAGCAAAAUGUUCUUGGGAUUGAAGGCUUCACCAGCUUCAUGCGCAGCCCGGCGUGCGAGGUGUGCAACCCGCUGCACCGCGAGGUGCACCAGGACAUGCAGCAGCCCCUGUGCCACUACUUCAUCGCCUCGUCCCACAACACCUACCUGAGCGGGGACCAGCUGCUGUCGCAGUCGCGGGCCGACAUGUACGCGCGCGUGCUGCAGGCCGGCUGCCGCUGCGUCGAAGUGGAUUGCUGGGAUGGCCCAGAUGGGGAGCCAGUGGUGCACCAUGGCUACACCCUGACUUCCAAAAUCCUCUUCCGGGACGUGGCAGAAACCAUCAAUAAAUACGCCUUCAUCAAAAACGAGUUUCCAGUGAUCCUGUCCAUUGAAAACCACUGCAGUAUUCAACAGCAAAAGAAGAUUGCCCAGUACCUCAAGGAGAUAUUUGGUGACAAACUGGACUUGUCAUCUGUGAGCACUGGAGAUCCCAGACAGCUUCCCAGCCCUCAGGAUUUAAAAGGGAAAAUCCUAGUGAAGGGUAAGAAAUUGCCCUGCAGCCUUGGAGCAGAUGCUGAGGAAGGAGAGGUUUCAGAAGAGGACAGUGCUGAUGAAAUUGAGGACGACUGCAAAUUAAAGCCCUGCUUUAGCAAUGGUGCAACUCAGCACCAGGUGGAAUCUUUUAUACGAACAAAACUGGAGUCUCUGCUAAAAGAAUCCCAGAUCAGGGACAAAGAGGAUCCUGACAGCUUCACUGUGAGAGCCCUGCUGAAGGCAACUCACCAGAGUUUCAGCAUGAACCUGAAGCAGAACUUGGACACAAAAGAAGGUGGAAAAAAGUCUCACGGUCGAUCAUUAAUGGGGAACUUUGUUAAACACAAGAGAGCUGCCAAGGCAGCAGCCAAAGCCCAGGGUGCCUCGGAUGAUGAGGAUGGCCAGCAGCAGCCUCCGGGCAAGGAGCCAGGGCAGCCCCACAGCAGGCUUGCCCGCCGCAGGAAGACAGUGAAGCUGUGCCGGGCCCUGUCUGACCUGGUGGUGUACACCAACUCCAUGGCAGCCCAGGACAUCGUGGAUGAUGGCUCCACAGGGAACGUGCUGUCAUUCAGUGAGACCAGAGCCCACCAGGCAGUGCAGCAGAAGGCUGAGCAGUUCAUGCUUUACAACCAGAGGCAGCUGACCAGGGUCUAUCCCUCAGCCUACCGGAUUGACUCCAGCAACUUCAACCCUGUUCCUUACUGGAAUGUGGGCUGCCAGUUAGUGGCUCUAAACUACCAGUCUGAGGGACGUGUGAUGCAGUUAAAUGAAGCAAAAUUCAGGGUAAAUGGCAACUGUGGUUAUGUCCUCAAACCUCAGCAGAUGUGCAAAGGCACGUUCAACCCCUACUCUGCUGAUCCACUUCCUGCCAGUCCUAAGAAGCAGCUUAUUCUGAAGAUCAUCAGUGGGCAGCAGCUCCCCAAGCCUCCUGACUCAAUGCUGGGGGACAGAGGAGAGAUAAUAGAUCCAUUUGUUGAGGUGGAGAUUAUUGGGUUGCCUGUUGACUGCUGUAAAGAUCAGACCAGGGUGGUGGAUGACAAUGGGUUCAAUCCUGUGUGGGAGGAGACCCUCACCUUCACCAUCCACAUGCCCGAAAUUGCCCUGGUGCGGUUCCUUGUCUGGGACCACGAUCCCAUCGGGAGAGACUUCGUGGGGCAGAGAACUGUGGCCUUCAGCAGCCUCGUGCCUGGCUAUCGCCACGUGUAUUUAGAAGGACUGACAGAAGCUUCCAUAUUUGUUCAUAUAAUCAUUAAUGAGACCUAUGGAAAGGUAGGUACAGCUGGAAAUUUACAUCUUCCUUCUGAUAAAAAUGGAUUUAAAUGUACCCCAGAACCUCCCAGGAUUUGUGUUGGAGUGCCCAGGAGGCUCAGAGUGUGUGUGGGGUUUCCUCGCAGGAGAUCAGCAAGGAAACUUCACCAUACCAUGACUCCACCCUUGCUGUGCACAUACUUGCAGACGUUCUUACUGUUAGCACCUAACAAUUAUCUUGUCUAGGUACAGGAGGUACAUUUCUUCCAUGUGCUAAACUAAUCUUAUUUUGGAAGUAGUUCUUGAGAACUGUAGCUGCACCAGAACAUAUUUGACAAACUGGUUUUAGCAGCUAAUUUAAUUAAUUUAAAUUAGCCUAGUUUAAUUUUAUGUUUUAGUGCAUAGGUUCUGUUUUUCUGCAAGUUUGCUAAUUUUAGUGUCUUUAAAGUGAAAGUGAAAGCACAGUGCUUUUUCUGUGUUUUCAGCUGCCCUUCCUUAGCUGUUUCCAUCUGGAGAUAAGCGGCACAAAGAAAUUAAGGCCAUGUUCAGCAGAAUGCUAAAGUAAAAUGGCACCUUAGCAGCGAUUUAAGAAAUGAAGAUAAACACAAAACCCUGACUUUGAGAGGUUUGAGGUUGCAGAGGACACUCAGCCCCUCAGCUUUGUGCCUUCUGAGAGGGUGCAGAGAAUGUCAUGACAAACAUGAACCCAAAGUUGUGCAGCACCCACAGAAAGCUCCGGGGAACAGAGAGAGAACAGCAGAGAGAAGGGCCCAGGGCUGAGGUUUGCUCUUGUCCAGAUCCUCUCCCAGCUCCGCUUCCUUUCUCCUCCCUGAUCCCAUGGGAUCAUGGGAUGGGAUCACACGUAUUGGUACGUGCACAUCUGGGCAUAUCUGUGAGAUCACAUCCCUUGGGGACGGUCUGCAGGGGCCUGUUUGGCUGCUGCCCUUGUAAGAACAAAUAUGCUCAAGAAAACCAGCAGUGUAACUCGAGGGGAGGCAAGAGGAGCAGGAGGGGACAGCCACUGGGAUUCCAUCUCUGUCCCUGGGUCUGUUCCCCUGAUGCUGCACUGCUGUUUCUCAUAGGCUGAGUUGGCAUCUUGGAGCCCUUUAAUCCUC